GAUCCUGGCUCAGGAUGAACGCCGGCGGCGUGCUUAACACAUGCAAGUCGAACGGAACUACUUUGAUGAGAUUCUUCGGAAAGGAUUUGAUUUAGUUUAGUGGCGGACGGGUGAGUAACGCGUGGGUAACCUGCCUCAUACAGGGGGAUAACAGUUGGAAACGGCUGUUAAUACCGCAUAAGCGCACAGUACCGCAUGGUAUGGUGUGAAAAACUACCGGUGGUAUGAGAUGGACUCGCGUCUGAUUAGG
rnacentral:rRNA from 1 species